GAUGCCUACAGUGAAGCAGUGUUGGAGGGAGGAGAGCAAGGCAGGGAUCCUGAAAGUCUGGGCUUACAAACAUCCAUGUGAAUUGUCAGUAGGUGCAAGUUCCUUUUGAGCUUUCAGCAAAUGGUCCUGUAAUGUCAGUAGCUUCUGUCUGAGACUGGUAUUUUCAAGAAACUGUGCUCUGAGCAUAGACAAGCAGAUUUACGUGAUUGCUACAUAAAGCUACUUUCUGGAUUUAUCCUGAACAAGAAGUGGAAUUACUGAAUUAAUGCCCGGGAAGUGAGUGAUCUACAUUACAUGUUGCAGUCCAGAAGUCCUCCAUAUGUGGUCUCCCAAACCAGGAUCCCAGUCCGUGCUUCUGGUGUUCCCUUCUCUUCUAUCACUGUCCUCUGAACUCCUUGCAGCCAUCCCUGUCUCCGUGAGCCCCUGCUCUUGGUCUCCAACUGUGUUGUUCAGAUCUGCUGCUUUGCUGAGGAUCAUGGUCAGAAACACUCCCAGGCACUGCGAACGCUCCGUUGCUGUCGGCAGCCCCAUGUCACCGUAUCAGCAGAAGCGGGCUGCUCAGAGAGCUAGCUGGCUGCUGACCCGCUACCCGGUGAGCACGGCUGCGGGAGCUGGUGGGGGCAGCUGCUUACUUGGAACUAGCUCCUAAAACUGCAGUUCCUGUGGGUUUAGUUGUGGCCACAUACCUGCCCCGGGGCACAUCAGACAGUUUCUGACAGCUGCUUCUCAGUGAGUGCUGCUUUGCAGUAUCUGCUAGGCUCAGAGUAUGCCGGCAGAACAGGAGGCACUGCACACAGCCUAGUAAGCAGGGUGCGACAGCUGGUAUGCUCAGCCUUCCUGACGUCCUCAGUCUCUCCAGCUCUUUCCCCUUCUUCCUCUCUUGUAGUAGUUCACAACUUUUUCACUCCUACAAUGAUCUUUUCCUCGGACCUGCCUUUUCCCAAACUCCUUCAGUCAUCACCUGAAGAAGAGUUCUUGUACCCAGAGCCCCUGCAGCUAAGCCCUGAUGGGCAAGAUCUUUCAUCCUUCAGGUUCUCAGUAAAGUUGGCUCUGUACAGUGGGGGAAAACAGAGUGUGACAGCAAACAUUUUUGUUCUUGUUCUCUUCAAGUUGUCUUGGGUCAAGUUACUGAAUUUCUUUGUAAAUAGUAAUUUGUAAAAAGUAACUAGUCAAAGACUCUAUAGUCUCAUAACUGAAAGGAGAAGACCUAGGGUUGGGAUAGCUCUGCCUUCUUCAAAGCUUCUUCAGUACUAAAAGGGAUAAUGUGCUUUAACUCAGGGAGGAGAUGGUAGUGUCCAUCCAAAAAUUCUGAGAGGACUGGCACACAGAGCUUUGUGUUCUGUCUCAUGGACCGAGUUUCUGUAGUAUAGGAAAGGGCAACACUGCAGCAACAUAAGAGAAAGAAUUAGAGGCAGGAAACUUUAGGGGAAAAGGAAUAAAAAGAACCUCCCAAAGACUGACUGUUUCAGAAAAAAAAACCCUUCCUUUAAUACUAAAAACUAUUGUUUAUAAAAAGUGGUGCAAGCCUGUCCUUUCUGGAGGACUGAAGAGCAGCUGAUACAAUGGCACCAUGGAAAAUAUUUUUUUGCAAAAGCAGAAGAUUGUUUAUAAGAAGUGCAGUGCAAAUAAAAGAGGUUUUGUAUGCUGGAAAUGAA